rnacentral:tRNA from 1 species
CAAAAGAUAGUUUAAUUAAAAUUCCGGUUUUGGGGAUCGGGGAAGAAGGUUGUAGUCCUUUUCUUUUGA